GUGGGGAAUAUUGGACAAUGGGCGAAAGCCUGAUCCAGCCAUGCCGCGUGUGUGAAGAAGGUCUUCGGAUUGUAAAGCACUUUAAGUUGGGAGGAAGGGCAGUAAGUUAAUACCUUGCUGUUUUGACGUUACCGACAGAAUAAGCACCGGCUAACUUCGUGCCAGCAGCCGCGGUAAUACGAAGGGUGCAAGCGUUAAUCGGAAUUACUGGGCGUAAAGCUCGCGUAGGUGGUUUUGUAAGUUGGAGGUGAAAUCCCCGGGCUCAACCUGGGAACUGCCUCAAAAACUGCAUGACUAGAGUACGGUAGAGGGUAGUGGAAUUUCCUGUGUAGCGGUGAAAUGCGUAGAUAUAGGAAGGAACACCAGUGGCGAAGGCGACUACCUGGACUGAUACUGACACUGAGGUGCGAAAGCGUGGGGAGCAAACAGGAUUAGAUACCCGAGUAGUCC
rnacentral:rRNA from 1 species